UACAACAUAACGCUAAUUCACUGGAUCCCAUUAGAACUUUGCAGUUAAAUGCACUCAGGCUAGAGUAGUACUGGGAUGGGUGACCUCUUGGGAAGUCCUAGUCUUUUAC
rnacentral:rRNA from 1 species